UUUUUUUCUAAAUUGACUUACUUCUUUACCUAUGUAAAUUAAUUUUAUAAAGGAUGAUUGGUCGGUGCAGAAGAGAAACUUCUAUAUUGCUUUCUAUAAACAGAAUUUUAUAAAUAAAAAUAAACACGGUGAAAACAGUGUACCAAAUUCAAGUUAGAUCCUGUUGCUUAUGGCAAGUGCUGAGCCUAGGCUUGAUCUAGCAUUAUUUGAAAAUAAAGAGAUUAACAGUUGGCAGGGAGUGUUGAAGACCAGCUAACACUGUUCUCCUUGCAAUCAGGAAAACAGCAAGCAGCUCGAACAACUGACCUCCUCACAAUGGGAGUCAAUGCUAUUUAAUGCCAUGCCUGAGUGCAUGCUUCCCAUUUCAGUUGUAUAAGAGGGAAGGGGCAGAUAUAUGUAUGAUCCAGGAUAGAAAGCACUGUGAUGGGAACUAACUACUGGGUGCAAUGAGAACUCAGGGGAAAGGACUUAACCCAGGCAUAGGAGUGAAGGCAUCAGGGGGUGGUCCCUAGAGGAAGUGACAUCUAAACUGAAUCCUGAGAAAGAGAUUUCUGUUUAAUUCUAGCUGAUGCCUGGGUGGUUGACUGACAGGGUAUGUGACAAGAAAGGUCCAGAGUGUGGAGAGGGCUUGUUUUCUGAGAACAGCAGUGAGUUGAGCAAAGCUGGAGCUAAGUCAGCGAGGUAAGGAGGGGAAGUGAGAGAAGACUUUGGAGACGGGAGCUGGAGACAGACCCUGAGGUGAGGGUGAGCCACAGAAAAAGUUCUAAGCAGGAGAGAGAGCAUGUUCAGAUUUGUGCCUUGGAAAGAUGAAUCUGGAAGCAGCAUGAGAAUGGAUUACAGGGCAGCAGGAGGGAGGCAGGAAACCCAUUAGCUGGAUAUUGCAACAAUAGCACUCCAGCUUUUAUUUGGAUUUCACCAGUUUUCCCCCCUUAAGUCCUUUUUGUGAUCCAGGAUCCAUGAUAUCACAUUUCAUUUAAGUUGUCAUGUUUCCCUAGUCAUCUCUGAUCUCUCAGUCUUUCCUUGUUUUUCAUGAUCUUGACUUCCUUUCCUUUUGAUAGUUGCUGCCAUUGAGAUACGUGGAUGAGGAGAUGGGAGGAAACAAUAAUUCAAGGGGAUAAACCCUGCACUCACUGAGUUCUUAGUUGGGGCCAAUGAAGUCAGGGAUACUUGGGUUAGAGUCUGUCUCUAACUAUCUGUAUGACUUUCAGCAAAUUAAUUUCUCGGAGCCCAAAGUUGUAAGAAUUGUAUAAGACAGCACACGUAAAACUACCGAGCACACUCAAUGCCUGGCACAUAGUGUAGACACUAGAUGAACUGAUACACUUAUUUACAUUCUUCAUUUUAUAGAUGAGGAAAUGGCUGAGGCAUGCCUGUCUUUGUGGACAGGCCUUUACCUGAGGAAGAAAGAAGUCUGAUCCAAGACUUAAAACAAAUGAGGCUAUUUUUAAAGCAAAUUAAUAGUUUAUGUUCUUAAAAAAUGCCGAUUAUGACCCAGUCAUUAUUUUUUUUAAAGUUAAGAUUAAACUCUUUUUCAUACUGGGUUGUAUUUGCCACUCUGAAAUUCAGUCAGUUUUUUCUUUUUUUGGUGUAAGCUCUGAAGUUCGGAAGUGCAGCCACACUUAGCGCAGUGGCUGGGAAAGCUGAUCCUGCACUCAAGGGGGUCUGGGUCUUAAGCUGGCUGAGUGACUGGGCAAGUUACUCUACAUACUUCAGCCUCAGUUUUAACUCUGCUUCAAGUUUUACUUGAGACUUCAAGUGUGGAUGACUAGGUAUGAGCCCUCAAUUCAUAGUAGCUCUCAUACUGAAGCAGGACUAAAUAGAUUCUUAGUAAGUGUAUCUGGUUUUCUGGGCUUUAACAUCUCAAGACAAGGGUGUGUAUUAGGGGUGCUGUUCUCUUGGGGUCUUUACCUCUUGGUGCAGGCUUACCUCUGGGGUGGGACAGCAUAUCUUUCCAAGUCUGUGCCCCUUUGGUCUACCAACCCUACUGAGUUACUGUAGAAUUCAGGAGCGUUAGAGGUUGGAGGCUGCUGGCAGUCCCAGCUCUGAGAACAUGCAGUCGGUUCACCUUCCUCUGCCCAGAGAAGCAGAGACAUGCCCCUGCUUAGGGGCUAGGAAGGCUCUUCCGGGCUGUGAUGUGCGACAGGGCAGAGGUGAGACCUAGGAUAACUCAGUUACGGUGCUGCUCAGUUUAGUUUCUGGGAGAGACUGUGGGAGGCAGGUGGUCAGGAGGGAUACUAUACUUUCAAAAUUAUUUCAAAAGUGGCAACUCUGGCUCCCACUUCUAGUGCUGCCUUGGACUCAUUGCCCAGGGUGUCAGGAUAGCUCAAGGGGUUCAUUCCCCUCAGGCAAGCUUCCAAACAAGGUACUGGUAGGAUGGAUGAGGUCGUGGUCUAGGAGAAGGAAGGCCUCUGCCAUUUUACUGUUGUUCUUCUCCAUGAGAAAUAAAGAGUUCCAGCAGGGGGCAGUAAUGUCUCUCUUAAAUUGUAUCUCAUUACCAGCCUACAGCAAUGCCUUUCAAAACUCUUAAAAACAAACAAACAAACAAAAAACCAUGACACACAAUAAGAAAUGCAUUUUACAUUGUAUCUCAGUAAAAGUAUCUCAUAUUUGAAAAAACAUUUAAUGCUUAUAAUAUGAAAUGCACUAUAAUAUAGUGCAUAAUACUAUAAUAUCUAUUCCAUUCAUUUUAAAGAACAUUCUAUUCUAAUUAAGAAUAUUCAGAUUAUGACCUCCUAAAUUGAUUUCUAGGCUUACUAACCUACCGUUUGAAAAGCACUGACCUUGAGGGCUCUGGCUUUUGUUCUUUCAUAUACAUCAUUUGCUGGGACAACUUUAUUGAGACCAGAGAAUGUGUACAUUUCAAAAUAAAAACAAUGUUGACAUUGUGAAUGAAUAUUAUGUGCUAUCCCCUGUAUAAAACUUUUUUAGAACUCUCUCAUGUAUUUCAACAACAUUUUGAGGAAGAUACUAUUGUUAUCUCAGUUGAGGUUUAGAGAAUGAUACGUCUGAAGUUAGUACAGGGUUGAGGUGAGAUUGGUCUCCCAGAUGCUGGAACUAGAAUGGAGAAACUGUUAUGUUAUAUGGUGCAUCUAAGUCAGGUGACACAUCUUUGGGACAGAUACCACCACUAAUAUGAUCAUGAAGAGAAGCAAGAUUAAAACUUGUUUCAGCAGCCUGGAAUGCUAGGCUGAAAUCAAUUUGGUGAUUCUGGUGGGUCUAGAACAGGGUUGGAGAGAAUUGAUUUUCUAGGGGAUCUUGAGAAAAUAUGGAGGUUUUCAUGGAUUACAGUUAAGUAGCCUGGUUGGUAAAGAAUCCACCUGCAAUAUGGGAGACCUAGGUUCGAUCCCUGGGUUGGGAAGAUCCCCUGGAGAAGGGUAAGGGUAUCCACUCCAGUAUUCUGGCCUAGAGAAUUCCAUGGACUGUAUAGUCUAUGGGGUAGCAAAGAGUUGGACACGAUUGAGCCACUUUCACUUUCACCUACUUUCAAUAGUCCAGAAGAAAUGAUAGACCAUCUUUCCCAGAUAGAAAAUGAGAGGAGAAAUAGAAAGCUUAUAGUCACACAAUGGUGAUACAUCAGAACAAAUUAUAAAUUAGCUUUUAAAGAUUCCAGGUGAGAAAUUGGAUGAAUUUGCAGGAGACUCCAGAGUCAAUAGUAGAAGACUGUGGACACCUGAGUAAGUGAGACAGCCAGAUAGAUGGAAUUUUGUGGUACUUGAAAAGGCAGUGCAGAAGGGAGAAUAUGAUUUUUAAACCUGAUUUAUAUGAUUCAAUUACUUUACCUUUCUUGCAUGGGCCAAAUAUUAUGUAUGAAAGUGACAUUUUUGUUUUUGAACUUUCUUGUAAAUUGAGAGCUUUGAUGUUUGUUCAUCUGGGAGUAUACUGGACAUCUGCUUCAUAGAGAUGCUCAUAGGAACACCCCUUGUGUCUGCACAUUGCCCCAGACAGCAGUGACACUAGCCACAUCUGCUUUCUUCCCCAGGGGAACUGCCAAGGGCCAGGCUGAAAGAACAGCUGCACGGUAAUCCCGACAACCAAUUACUUAUUCAUGAAACAAACAAAACAGAUUUUUGUCUAUCUUAGAACACGUAGCUUUGGGACUCUACUGAGCGGAGAAUAGGAUAGCCAAGCAGAGAGGUGACAUGGAGGAUCUGCAUUUUUGGUAGUUUUAAAGUUCUAAGGGAUUAUUCAGAUUUAUAACCUGACCCUCUUCCAAGUCCCAUGGCAUUCCUUUCUUUUCUUUCCAGUUAUAUAAAGUCUGUGUCUUCCUUUGUUCUUGUAUCUCUACAUUAAGCUGUCCCUCUUUCAUGUGCUCAUAGAUCCCUGCACUUCUCCAUUAGGGUAGUUAUCACAGUUUAUAGUUAUACUGUCUGUGUGACUUUAAAAAAAUUCUUGUGCACCAUCUAGAUUGGAAGCUCCAUGAGAGCAGGGACUUUGUUUCAGUCACUCAAUUCUAUAUUCCCAGAGUCAUUACCAGUGUCUGACAUAUGGUAGAACCUCAAUAAAGGUUCAGUG
ensembl:lncRNA